rnacentral:rRNA from 1 species
UACGUAGGGUGCAAGCGUUAAUCGGAAUUACUGGGCGUAAAGCGUGCGCAGGCGGUGAUGUAAGACAGUUGUGAAAUCCCCGGGCUCAACCUGGGAACUGCAUCUGUGACUGCAUCGCUGGAGUACGGUAGAGGGGGAUGGAAUUCCGCGUGUAGCAGUGAAAUACGUAGAUAUGCGGAGGAACACCGAUGGCGAAGGCAAUCCCCUGGACCUGUACUGACGCUCAUGCACGAAAGCGUGGGGAGCAAACAGG